UACAGAGGGGGCAAGCGUUGUUCGGAAUUACUGGGCGUAAAGUGUGCGCAGGCGGCCGCGCAAGUCGAGUGUGAAAGCCCCGAGCUUAACUUGGGAAUUGCGCUCGAAACUACGUGGCUGGAGUGUGGCAGAGGAAGGUGGAAUUCCACGUGUAGCGGUGAAAUGCGUAGAGAUGUGGAGGAACACCGAUGGCGAAGGCAGCCUUCUGGGCCAACACUGACGCUCAUGCACGAAAGCGUGGGGAGCAAACAGG
rnacentral:rRNA from 1 species